GUUUUUGGGGUUUAAACAUUGCGCAUGCUGUUGGGUCCGAAAGCAACGAACGUGACCGCAACGUCUUAUUGCCUUUAUCUUGUUAUAUUGUAAUUUAAUUAGGAAUAGCUAACAGAGGCUAAUUUAAAAUUAGACGGACCGCUGUACUUUUCUUAAACCAGAGGAAGGUUGCGGCAAUAACAGGUCUGUGAUGCCCUUAGAUGUUCCGGGCUGCACACGUGCUACAAUGAUCAGUACAGUGAGCAUCUCAAUAUUAUACACCGUAUUAAGCGCUUAGUUGCGAUUAUUGGCUCAUUAUUGGGUCUUUUAAUUGUAUUUCUAAUGCGCGCGGUAAAGCCUGCUUCGAGAGUAAGUGGGUAAUCCAUUGGAAGUAAUGAUUUCUCUUUUUAUAGCACACCUAUAUACGGCAUUCAUUCCCGGGACGACUAGUUUCGU
rnacentral:rRNA from 1 species